rnacentral:piRNA from 1 species
UGGCUAGUUUACGUGAUAGAUUAGGCU